rnacentral:RNase_P_RNA from 1 species
UCAGUCGGCCGGACGGCCGCUCCGGCAGGCGCCGAAAGGCCGCCGGGGAGGAAAGUCCGGGCUCCCUUGACAUGCGGUGCCGGAUAACGUCCGGCGGGGGUGACCCCAGGGAAAGUGCCACAGAGAACGAACCGCCCGCCUUCGCCCUUCGGGGCUUCGGCGAGGUAAGGGUGAAAAGGUGCGGUAAGAGCGCACCGCGGUUCCGGCAACGGAGCCGGCAUGGCAAACCCCACCGGGAGCAAAACCGAAUAGGGACGGCAUAGCGGGCUGUUCGCGAAAGCGAUAACGCCGCGGGGCGAUGUCAGGCCCGCCGUCCGGGUAGGUUGCUCGAGGCCAUUUGCAAACAUGGUCCCAGAGGAAUGGCCGUCACGUAUCGCGCGCGCAAGCGGGCGGUACCCUACAGAACCCGGCUUACAGGUCGGCUGAUGUG